CAGAGUACUUUUUUUUUGCUUUUUUUUUUUUUUUUUUUUUUCCUUUAAGGCCGAAUCCACAGCGUAUGGAAGUUCCCAGGCCAGGGAUUGGAUCUGAGCCACACCUGUGACCUGCACAGCUGAGAUAGUGCCAGAUAGGACAGCUUUAUAUGCCACAUGGGAUGGAAGAUGAGACCCUGAGACAUGGGAGAACAUGGGAUGGUGGUGGAGGGGAAUGAGAGAUGCCUAAACUGUUCUGCUUUAGAAAAAAAUAAGAACAGAGGGAGAGAGCUGAAAUUAAAGAAGAGUGGAAAGAAAGGACAGCAUGAGAUUAAGUAAAGGGCAAGAGGCUGGUUGGUUGAAGCAGAGACCUCCAGUUACCUCCCAAAACCUGUUCUCCCUUUCUUGCACAGUAUCAGAGUUCCAGCUGGGCACAUGACUGCACUGUUGGAGACUACACUUCCCAGGCUCCACCAAGCGCCAGUAUGAUCACAUGACUACAAUCCUGCCAAUGAGAUGAGAAUGGAAGUGAUGUGUGCACCUACUUGCUUAAUAGUCGGCCCUCCUCUUUCCCCUUCCAAGGGGCUGAUUGUCCAUGUGGUUUGCCCUGGCUUCGACGAUAUGGAUGAGGGCACAGUCACUCCCAGGAGAUGGCAAAGCAACAAGACAGAAGUAACGGUGAUUGGAAGAACUUGCAACCACAGUAGGAAGCAGAGCAACCACUUAGCCUGGACUGGAAGAGAGAGAUAAAACCAAAUCAUUUUUGUGGUGGGGAGUCAGGAGAGGGGGGAUGUGGCAGGAAGAGGAUCUCACUGUGUCAGCAUUUAGCGUAAAUCUUAGCUAACACUAUGGCAAAAUUACUCAAAAAUUACUCAAAAAUUGAGAUAACUUAUUAUUCCAUUUUUUAAUUUGCCAUUUUCUGUGCUACAUAUCCUCCAUUUUUUUGUGUGUGUGUUUUUGGCCACAUCAGUGGCAUGUGGAAAUUCCUGGGCCAGGGAUCAAAUCAGCACCACAGCAACAACCCGAGCCACUGCAGUGACACCACCAGAUCCUUAACCUGCUGCACCACAAGGGACCAUUGGCACUCUCCAUCUUUUGACCUUUGCAAAAUGUGCUACAAACAUAAUGGCCUGUGGGAGGAAGGGGCUUGGUAGAAAUCAAGGAGUGUGUCCGGCUCCCACAGCUGGGCUGAGAGAGCAAGACUUGGAAGAGCACACAUGCGGGAAGGUCCAGAGAUGCAAAGAAUUCCGCAGGACAGGAGCUCUGAGCCAUACUGCCAUGACAAUGCAUGCUCGGCUGGACUCAUGACAUCUCAGGGAGGGUCCCAAGACAGGAUAUGGAGUAGAGAGAUGAUCCAGUUCCAUCUAGACUCUAGGGGUCAGGGUAACUCCUACCAACACCUGGACCAAAACAGUGAUUAAUCCAAGAGGGCAGGAAUAUGCAAGGAUUAAGAAUACAGAUUCUUGGGAGUUCCCAUUGUGACUCAGCAGUGAUGAACCCCACUAGUAUCCAUGAAGAUGUGAGUUCAAUCCCUGGCAUCAAUGAGUGGGUUAAGGAUCCAACAUUGCCAUGAGGUAUAGGUUGCAGACUCAGCUUGGAUCCAGCAUUGCUAUGGCUGUGGCAUAAGCAGGCAGCUGCGACUCCAGUUCAACUCCUAGCCUGGGAGCUUCCAUAUGCCAUGGGUGUGGCCCUAAAAAGAAGGAGUAAAGAUUCUAGAGUCAGAGUGGAUGAGUUCUACUUUCUGCUCUACCACCUAUAACCAUGUGACUUCAGGGAAGUAACUUAAAACCUUAGCCUCAGUUUCCGUCUUUGUAAAUUGGACAUAGCAAUAAUAUCCACCUCCAAGUGUUAUCAUGGAGAAUUGAAAGGAAUAAUGUACAUAAAAUAGUCAGCAGGGCACAUGAGAUAUGAUGAGUGAUCAAUAAGGAUUAGCUUUUAUUGAUAAUAAUAUUAUUUCUUUGUGAUGGUAAUAUGACACCCUAGCUUUUAUUCAGGGCUUAGAGAAAAAUCAGUAACGUGGAAAGUUGCAGGCUCAGUUGUUUCCACAACGACCUGAGUUCAGUGGCAGGAGCAUCACUCCCGCAUGUGAGGUGUCCCGAGUACCAGCAGCUCCAUUGCUCGGCUGGGAAAACAAAGAGGUUGAGAAAUGCGCCUGAGGUAACAAGUAAGUGACAGAACUGAGAUGAAAGCUGGGAUCUCAAAUCAUCAUUCGGGUCCCAAGGCACUUUUAGCAAAGCCAGGCUGAACUAAGAACACUCUUACCUGCAGUUUCAGGUGCCUGGGACCUGCCCCCACCUGGCUCCUCCUUCCCACCGCGUUGCCCUCUCAGAAAGCCACCCGCUGUCACUCAGGCACUCAGGCAGGAAAGCCACAGUCACUCUGUACUUCCUGUUUUCCUUCACCCCCUGCUUCUAAUCAGCGCUCAAGGGGUGUCUGUGUCAUCUCUGAAACUGCUCUCACGUCCAUCCACUUGCCUCGACCUCCACCCCCAGCCUAUUUCAAACCACCUCUUCAUGGGCAUCUACUCUUGCUUUCCUUUCCUUUCCUCUUGGCAGCCAUAGGGAGUUUUCAAAACCCAAAUAUCAUGAUUUCCUGAUCUGCCUAGGACCUCCUAUCAGCUUCCCACUGCCCCAAGAGGAAGUUCAACCAGCCUCCCUUGUUAGUGCCAGCCUAAACCACCCCCCUCCCCCCGGCUCUCGAAGCUCAAACCACACCAGACAGUUUUUCUGUUUCUAGAACAGAGGACAGAGCCCCCAGCCUUUGAAUGCUAUUUCCUCUGCUUAGGACACUGUUUCCUCCUCUGCCUCCCUUUAUCUGACUCAUUCACUCAAAAAUAUUUUGUAUCAAACUCUCACUAUAUUGGCAAACAUUGUUUUAGACCACAGAAAAACACAUAACUUUUCUGUGCCAUAACCUUUGUUAGAAAUCUGGUAAAACCUAUGGACCACUUUCUCAGACUAAUGCCCCCUUUUUUUUUUUUUGAUGAUGAUGAUGAAUUUUAUAUAAACCUCACUUUAUUAUUUACUUAUCUCACUUGAAUCUCACCACUAUGGUUACAUAAGGUAGCUAUUGCACCUCCUACUUUUCACCCAACAUAUUACCAUUGGGGUUGAAAAGAUUACAGUGAACCCUGAUAUGGUAGGUAGAGUAAUGGCCCCCCAAAGAUAUUCAUGCUCUAACCCCUAGAACCUAUGACUAUGCUAUAUUAUUAAAAAAAAAAAAAAAAAA
rnacentral:lncRNA from 1 species